rnacentral:rRNA from 1 species
GACGAACGCUGGCGGCGUGCCUAAUACAUGCAAGUCGAGCGGAUCUUCAUUAGCUUGCUUUUGAAGAUCAGCGGCGGACGGGUGAGUAACACGUGGGCAACCUGCCUGUAAGGCUGGGAUAACUUCGGGAAACCGGAGCUAAUACCGGAUAAUCCUUUUCCUCUCAUGAGGAAAAGCUGAAAGACGGUUUCGGCUGUCACUUACAGAUGGGCCCGCGGCGCAUUAGCUAGUUGGUGAGGUAACGGCUCACCAAGGCGACGAUGCGUAGCCGACCUCGGAGGGUGAUCGGCCACACUGGGACUGAGACACGGCCCAGACUCCUACGGGAGGCAGCAGUAGGGAAUCUUCCGCAAUGGACGAAAGUCUGACAGAGCAACGCCGCGUGAGCGAUGAAGGCCUUCGGGUCGUAAAGCUCUGUUGUCAGGGAAGAACAAGUACCGGAGUAACUGCCGGUACCUUGACGGUACCUGACCAGAAAGCCACGGCUAACUACGUGCCAGCCGCCGCCGUAACAC